AUUUUAUUUGAGAGUUUGAUCCUGGCUCAGGAUGAACGCUGGCGGCGUGCCUAACACAUGCAAGUCGAACGAAGCACCUUUUGAGAUUCUUCGGAUGA
rnacentral:rRNA from 1 species